UUUUUCGACAAUCCGUCGACAGAAAGUCUUACCCUAAGAUAAACAUCUUGGUUAGUUAAUCACAAGAAGGACGGACGCUUAUGCGAUUGAUUAAAGUGCAAUGUGUUUAUACUCACACCCUGUUGCCUAACUAAACUUAGACGUUACUCUCGGUUCAAAAAAAAGGUUUUAAACGACAACUGUUCAACGAAUCCACGAAUUAUCGGUUGUACUAAAACCUUGAACAUAAGCACGUGUGACAAUCUCUCCCAAUCAGACAGCGAGGUCACAGUGGCCAUCUGAACUAGAAGGGUUGUUAUAAUAGAAAAGUCUGGAAACACAAGGAUAAUUUCAUCAAUGGCUACUUUACAACAUGGAGGAAGAAAACUGGACCAGAAAGUGGCGAUAAUCACAGGUGCUAGUUCAGGGAUAGGUAGAGCCACUGCUGUGUUGUUCUCACGCCUCGG